rnacentral:rRNA from 1 species
UCUACGGGCGGCAGCAGUGGGGAAUAUUGCGCAAUGGGCGAAAGCCUGACGCAGCGACGCCGCGUGAGGGAUGAAGGUCUUCGGAUCGUAAAACUCUGUCAGCAGGGAAGAACGGUCACUGUGCUAAUCAGCAGUGAAUUGACGGUACCUGCAAAGGAAGCACCGGCUAACUCCGUGCGAGCAGCCGCGGUAAUACGGAGGGUGCGAGCGUUAAUCGGAGUUACUGGGCGUAAAGCGCUCGUAGGCGGUAUGUCAAGUCAAGGGUGAAAUCCCCGCGCUCAACGUGGGAACUGCCUUGGAAACUGGCAAACUGGAGUGUGUGAGAGGAUAGUGGAAUUCCAGGUGUAGGAGUGAAAUCCGUAGAUAUCUGGAGGAACAUCAGUGGCGAAGGCGACUAUCUGGCACAUAACUGACGCUGAGGAGCGAAAGCGUGGGUAGCAAACAGGAUUAGAUACCCCUGUAGUC